CCUACGGGUGGCAGCAGUGAGGAAUAUUGGUCAAUGGGCGCGAGCCUGAACCAGCCAAGUCGCGUGAGGGAAGACGGUCCUAUGGAUUGUAAACCUCUUUUGUCGGGGAGCAAAAGACGCCACGCGUGGCGUUCCGAGAGUACCCGAAGAAAAAGCAUCGGCUAACUCCGUGCCAGCAGCCGCGGUAAUACGGAGGAUGCGAGCGUUAUCCGGAUUUAUUGGGUUUAAAGGGUGCGCAGGCGGAAGAUCAAGUCAGCGGUAAAAUUGAGAGGCUCAACCUCUUCGAGCCGUUGAAACUGGUUGUCUUGAGUGGGUGAGAAGUAUGCGGAAGGCGCGGUGUAGCGGUGAAAUGCAUAGAUAUCACGCAGAACUCCGAUUGCGAAGGCAGCAUACCGGCGCUCAACUGACGCUCAUGCACGAAAGUGUGGGUAUCGAACAGGAUUAGAUACCCUAGGAGUC
rnacentral:rRNA from 1 species